CUUGGCGAACAUAGCGUUUUGGACCCACCUGAACCCAUUCCGAACUCAGAAGUGAAACGAAAUAGCGUCGAUGGUAGUGUGGGGCUUCCCCAUGUGAGAGUAGAACAUCGCCAGGC
rnacentral:rRNA from 1 species